UGCUAAAGUACCAGCCCCCUUUAUAAAGCUCCGCCUACAUAGCACAGAUAUUUGUUACCUUUAUGAGAGUGAG
rnacentral:tRNA from 1 species